GCUUGGAUCGUCGAUCGCCGCAAGGCUUGACGGCGAAGGGCGAAAAAGGCCGCGCACAAGUGGCGCGGCCGCGGUCGCCUCAAGCGGCGGUGUUUU
rnacentral:sRNA from 1 species